rnacentral:rRNA from 1 species
GAGGCGAUGAAGGGCGUGCUAAUCUGCGAUAAGCGCCGGUAAGGUGAUAUGAACCGUUAUAACCGGCGAUACCCGAAUGGGGAAACCCAGUGUGAUUCGUCACACUAUCAUUAACUGAAUCCAUAGGUUAAUGAGGCGAACCGGGGGAACUGAAACAUCUAAGUACCCCGAGGAAAAGAAAUCAACCGAGAUUCCCCCAGUAGCGGCGAGCGAACGGGGAGGAGCCCAGAGCCUGAAUCAGCAUGUGUGUUAGUGGAAGCGUCUGGAAAGGCGCGCGAUACAGGGUGACAGCCCCGUACACAAAAGCGCAUGUGCUGUGAGCUCGAUGAGUAGGGCGGGACACGUGGUAUCCUGUCUGAAUAUGGGGGGACCAUCCUCCAAGGCUAAAUACUCCUGACUGACCGAUAGUGAACCAGUACCGUGAGGGAAAGGCGAAAAGAACCCCGGCGAGGGGAGUGAAAAAGAACCUGAAACCGUGUACGUACAAGCAGUGGGAGCACCCUUUGGGUGUGACUGCGUACCUUUUGUAUAAUGGGUCAGCGACUUAUAUUCUGUAGCAAGGUUAACCGAAUAGGGGAGCCGGAGGGAAACCGAGUCUUAACCGGGCGUUAAGUUGCAGGGUAUAGACCCGAAACCCGGUGAUCUAGCCAUGGGCAGGUUGAAGGUUGGGUAACACUAACUGGAGGACCGAACCGACUAAUGUUGAAAAAUUAGCGGAUGACCUGUGGCUGGGGGUGAAAGGCCAAUCAAACCGGGAGAUAGCUGGUUCUCCCCGAAAGCUAUUUAGGUAGCGCCUCGUGAAUUCAUCUCCGGGGGUAGAGCACUGUUUCGGCUAGGGGGCCAUCCCGGCUUACCAACCCGAUGCAAACUGCGAAUACCGGAGAAUGUUAUCACGGGAGACACACGGCGGGUGCUAACGUCCGUCGUGAAGAGGGAAACAACCCAGACCGCCAGCUAAGGUCCCAAAGUCAUGGUUAAGUGGGAAACGAUGUGGGAAGGCCCAGACAGCCAGGAUGUUGGCUUAGAAGCAGCCAUCAUUUAAAGAAAGCGUAAUAGCUCACUGGUCGAGUCGGCCUGCGCGGAAGAUGUAACGGGGCUAAACCAUGCACCGAAGCUGCGGCAGCGACACUGUGUGUUGUUGGGUAGGGGAGCGUUCUGUAAGCCUGUGAAGGUGUGUCGUGAGGCAUGCUGGAGGUAUCAGAAGUGCGAAUGCUGACAUAAGUAACGAUAAAGCGGGUGAAAAGCCCGCUCGCCGGAAGACCAAGGGUUCCUGUCCAACGUUAAUCGGGGCAGGGUGAGUCGACCCCUAAGGCGAGGCCGAAAGGCGUAGUCGAUGGGAAACGGGUUAAUAUUCCCGUACUUGGUGUUACUGCGAAGGGGGGACGGAGAAGGCUAUGUUGGCCGGGCGACGGUUGUCCCGGUUUAAGCGUGUAGGUGUGUGUUCCAGGUAAAUCCGGUUCACUUUAACACUGAGGCGUGACGACGAGGCACUACGGUGCUGAAGCAACAAAUGCCCUGCUUCCAGGAAAAGCCUCUAAGCAUCAGGUAACAUCAAAUCGUACCCCAAACCGACACAGGUGGUCAGGUAGAGAAUACCAAGGCGCUUGAGAGAACUCGGGUGAAGGAACUAGGCAAAAUGGUGCCGUAACUUCGGGAGAAGGCACGCUGACACGUAGGUGAAGUGAUUUACUCAUGGAGCUGAAGUCAGUCGAAGAUACCAGCUGGCUGCAACUGUUUAUUAAAAACACAGCACUGUGCAAACACGAAAGUGGACGUAUACGGUGUGACGCCUGCCCGGUGCCGGAAGGUUAAUUGAUGGGGUCAGCGCAAGCGAAGCUCCUGAUCGAAGCCCCGGUAAACGGCGGCCGUAACUAUAACGGUCCUAAGGUAGCGAAAUUCCUUGUCGGGUAAGUUCCGACCUGCACGAAUGGCGUAAUGAUGGCCAGGCUGUCUCCACCCGAGACUCAGUGAAAUUGAACUCGCUGUGAAGAUGCAGUGUACCCGCGGCAAGACGGAAAGACCCCGUGAACCUUUACUAUAGCUUGACACUGAACAUUGAGCCUUGAUGUGUAGGAUAGGUGGGAGGCUUUGAAGUGUGGACGCCAGUCUGCAUGGAGCCGACCUUGAAAUACCACCCUUUAAUGUUUGAUGUUCUAACGUGGACCCGUUACCCGGGUUGCGGACAGUGUCUGGUGGGUAGUUUGACUGGGGCGGUCUCCUCCUAAAGAGUAACGGAGGAGCACGAAGGUUGGCUAAUCCUGGUCGGACAUCAGGAGGUUAGUGCAAUGGCAUAAGCCAGCUUGACUGCGAGCGUGACGGCGCGAGCAGGUGCGAAAGCAGGUCAUAGUGAUCCGGUGGUUCUGAAUGGAAGGGCCAUCGCUCAACGGAUAAAAGGUACUCCGGGGAUAACAGGCUGAUACCGCCCAAGAGUUCAUAUCGACGGCGGUGUUUGGCACCUCGAUGUCGGCUCAUCACAUCCUGGGGCUGAAGUAGGUCCCAAGGGUAUGGCUGUUCGCCAUUUAAAGUGGUACGCGAGCUGGGUUUAGAACGUCGUGAGACAGUUCGGUCCCUAUCUGCCGUGGGCGCUGGAGAACUGAGGGGGGCUGCUCCUAGUACGAGAGGACCGGAGUGGACGCAUCACUGGUGUUCGGGUUGUCAUGCCAAUGGCACUGCCCGGUAGCUAAAUGCGGAAGAGAUAAGUGCUGAAAGCAUCUAAGCACGAAACUUGCCCCGA